AACGAACGCUGGCGGCAUGCCUAACACAUGCAAGUCGAACGAGACCUUCGGGUCUAGUGGCGCACGGGUGCGUAACGCGUGGGAACCUGCCCUUAGGUUCGGAAUAACUCCCCGAAAGGGGUGCUAAUACCGGAUAAUGUCUUCGGACCAAAGAUUUAUCGCCUUUGGAUGGGCCCGCGUUGUAUUAGCUAGUUGGUAGGGUAAAAGCCUACCAAGGCGACGAUCCAUAGCUGGUCUGAGAGGAUGAUCAGCCACACUGGGACUGAGACACGGCCCAGACUACUACGGGAGGCAGCAGUGGGGAAUAUUGGACAAUGGGCGAAAGCAUGAUCCAGCAAUGCCGCGUGAGUGAUGAAGGCCUUAGGGUUGUAAAGCUCUUUUACCCGGGAUGAUAAUGACAGUACCGGGAGAAUAAGCUCCGGCUAACUCCGUG
rnacentral:rRNA from 1 species